UAAUGGGAUACAAUCUUAAGAAGUUGAAUCAAAUCUUUACUGGCUUAAAAAAGACGUAUUUUUAAGCACUUGAAAAAUCAUUCCAAACAAGCUCUUAAUUUCCUUACUUGAAACUUCUCUUUUAUCAUUUUUAUCCAGUAUUGGUUUCUUUGAAAAAUAAGAAAUAAUUUAUCCAAAAUCAUCAAGCAUCACAAAUAUUUUCUUUUAUUGUUUUUUUUUUUCCGUUGUUGGAUGAGUUAGUUGAGUCUAAUUUGUAACUAUUAGAUUUAGGAAGAUUUGACCUAAUAUUCUUUCAUUUUUUUUAUUCCUCACUGUAGUCUAUUUAUUUCCCCCUUGUAUCAUUCGUUAAUAUAAAAAAAUAAUAAGAGAGAUUUGCACCGUGGUGGAAACCAAAUAGAGGAGACAACCCCUGUCAUUAGUGUCGCCAUCGAUGCUCGGAUUAGCGCUGCCAUGGAUGAAGGCUUCCGCCACCUUCAGAAAACUUUAGCCAUUGUGAUUCUGUCAUUUUUUCCACCACCCAUGCCGCAACACACCACCCACGCGCCAAUGUCAGAGCUACAUGCACCAGCCCAUCUGGUUUAGACCACACUGACCAACCUAUAUGUGCCACCCUUGUCUUCAUUGUGGCCUGUACUGUUCCCCACGCGCCGCUCAAUGUGCUGCCACUUAAUUUCGAUCGGCCACCAUCGCUUCUGCAAUCAAAUUUGUAUGCCACGUCGUCCACUAACCUUAGUUAUCAUCCUGAUGUUAGGAAUCCUCAAAUUCACUCAACAUUUGAAGUUGGUGAAUCUUCAGCACAUUCCAUCCCUAAUGUACAAGCUUUCACUUCUUCUUCGGGUAUAGCUUACCAGCAACUGGAAGGGCUUCGACAACAGAUUGAAGCAAUUGGGGCUACCUUAGGGGCGACAUCCAACACUUCUGGUCUUGGCUUUCAUACACCUGUACCGAUGUAUUAUGAUAAUUCGGUAACCUCGUUCCCCACGUUAUCCUCUUCUUAUGUGACUAAUACAGUGGCACAUUCUACAGGAUAUUUUUCAGAAAAAAAAUUGAACGACAAUAACUAUUUCUCAUGGUCUCAGUCAAAUGGUCCUUGAACGACGACAUAAAUUUGAUUUUCUGCUAGGAAAAAUACCUUGUCCUCCACCGAGAGACCUACAGAAAUGGUAUUGGAAAAGGGAGAACGCUCUUCUUCGAUCCACAUUGAUCAAUAGUAUGGAGGCACAAAUCGACAAACCCUUACCGUACGCUACAACUGCUAAGGAUAUUUGGAACACAACCCAUAAACUGUAUUCCAAAUGUCAAAAGGCCUCUCGCUUAUACAUACUACAGAAACAGGUUCAUAAAUGCAAGCAAUGAACCAUAGAUGUCACAUCAUUUUUUAACAAGCUCUCUCUUAUAUGGCAGGAAAUAGACCUAUACAGAUAACUAGUCUAGAGCAGUUCUAGUGAUGGUUUACAAUACCCUAGAAUUGAAGAGAUUGAUAGGAUUCAUGACUUUCCUGCUGUUCUGAAAUCCGCCUUGAGGAGGAUCGUACAACUGCUAUCAAUAACUCCUACCAUUGACGUCGCUGCUUUUAGUAUAAGGUCCUUUACCAGUGGCAAUGACAAGCAGAAUGGAAAACCAGUUCCUGCCUGUGAGCAUUGCAAAAAACAAUGGCAUACCAAGGAGCGGAGUUGGAAGUUACAUGGUCAUUCCCCAGGAGAUAAGAAACGCUCUCCCAACGACAAACAGAACACAGGGCAGGCGUAUGUGAGUGAGUUGCUGCACCUUCUCAACCACCCGAUCCACAUGGAAACCAAAUCGAUCUCAGUCCCGAUACUUUAGGUGUCAUUGUCUAAUUAGGAUUUGAGCUCGGAGAAGAUGGUUGGCACUGCUCGGCAUAGUAAGGGACUCUACCUCCUUGAUGACGACACCUCUUCUAGUAGCAUUUCUAAGACUAGUCUUUUAUCUUCCUAUUUACUACUUCUUAACAAGAUUGUAUGCUGUGGCAUUUUCAUUUAGGCCACCCUAAUUUUCAAUAUAUGAAACAUUUAUUUCUUUCAUUUUUCUCUAAA